rnacentral:rRNA from 1 species
UCAGGAUGAACGCUGGCGGCGUGCUUAACACAUGCAAGUCGAACGGAGUUUAGAGAGCUUGCUCUUAAACUUAGUGGCGGACGGGUGAGUAACGCGUGGGUAACCUGCCUUUCACUGGGGGAUAACAGUUAGAAAUGACUGCUAAUACCGCAUAAGCGCACGGGAUCGCAUGAUCUAGUGUGAAAAACUCCGGUGGUGAAAGAUGGACCCGCGUCUGAUUAGCUAGUUGGUGAGGUAACGGCCCACCAAGGCGACGAUCAGUAGCCGGCCUGAGAGGGUGAACGGCCACAUUGGGACUGAGACACGGCCCAAACUCCUACGGGAGGCAGCAGUGGGGAAUAUUGCACAAUGGGGGAAACCCUGAUGCAGCGACGCCGCGUGAGUGAAGAAGUAUUUCGGUAUGUAAAGCUCUAUCAGCAGGGAAGAAAAUGACGGUACCUGACUAAGAAGCCCCGGCUAACUACGUGCCAGCCGCAGC